UUGCAAUCUCAAUUUUCAUAAAUCUUGAAUGGUUACAUAACACCACUAUCUUAGAAGUCGUAUAAGAACUUCUCAAACAAUGGCUGUUCAUCUGCAUCCAAACACACUGCUAGUGACAUACUCCUAUCAUUGUUCGGGCUUGGUAGAACAUAAAUGGUCCCCUCGUAUAAUAUACACGCGGGUCCCAUGAAUACGGGUCUACCCCACCCGAAAUCCGCAUCAUGCACUGGCAACCGAGUCCACGUGUUAAUGUUUAGGUUCGGGCUCGCAAAGUAACUUGGACCACGAAUUAAGGCUGAUAGAUCGGGCUGCACCUCAAGGUAGUCGAUGGCGGAUCGCAAAUAGUCGUUAUCCAUUUUUGACAAAGUUGUCCGGAUCAACGAUGCUGCAUUGGCCAACGGUUGAGUCGUGAGGUCAGCCGAUUUAGCAAUCGGGGUGGCAGUGAACACAACAUUCCCUAGGUAGCCCGGUGGGAGUUGGGGGCUCAAUCUGGAUCGUCCGUCUGUAGCCACGUACAGUUUGGUUAGUUGGUCAUCGGGGAGUCCACGAGCCUUGCACGCGCAACGCCAUAAGUGAGCCGCUAGGAUCUCGUACGUGCUAUAGUUGGUGUUUCCACCAUCAUUCUUGGCUGCGGCUUUGAGAGCAUUGAGUUGGUCAAGUGUAAGCUUAAGAAUAGUGGUGGAGGGCUUUCGGCUGGAUUCAGGCUUCUGUGAGUCAGGUUUCAUCGACGGAGGGGGGUGGUACUCGACAUGGUCAAAAGUGGGAGUGGGGGGUUCACGUGCACGAAGCAAGGUGCGGUCGAUAAAUGGUGGGAUGGCAAUGGAGAGGCCGCGAGCCAUGUCGGACCAUGUGUUGAUGAAAUGCAGAGAGGAUAGCCCAUCAGCCAAAGUAUGAAAGACACCACAACCAAGACCAACUCCUCCACACUUGAAAUGGGUUACCUGCAAAAAACAGCGGAUAAGAAGAAAUGUCACCGGAAUAAUCCACAGUGGGCGUAAGUCGCCGGAGCUCCGGCGACGGCGUAAACUCACCAAAAUCAUCCAAAGUAGAAUCGGACUCGGCUUCGACAAACAAAACACCCUCAUCAUUACAAUUAAUAACAACUUUGCCAUUCUGAUCUUUACCCAUACGACCAGCCAUUGGAUAAAAGGUAACAAGAACAUCUGCAAGCGCCUUCUUCAUGACAAGAGGAUCAAAGAAGUUGGAGCAAACGAUCGGACGGUAGAAAUAAACGGUUAAAAUAUGGAUUCUGCCAACGACCAAAUCCAAGUUGGAAGUCCAUAACUGCUUUGUAGAAGCUUGUGUGGGCUUCGAAGGUUGUACAAACGUUGUUUGUUUGAUGUUGAUGUUCAAUGUCUUUUGAACAGUCCCCAUGGGUUGUUUAGGGGGGUUUGGUUUGGUGAGUGAGAUGGAGGUU
rnacentral:lncRNA from 1 species